AUACUUAACUAGCUAGAAAGAUACCAUGAUCACGGAGGUGGUUUUUCCAGGGCAAGGCUUAUCCAUUGCACUCCGGUUGUGCUGACCCCUGUGAUUUCCCCAAACGUGGGAAACUGGAGUGCAUAAUUUGUGGUAGUGGGGGAUUGCAUUCAAGCUCUUU